CUUUUCAUCCGGAACCUAGUAACUACGGAUUAACCAUUCAUGAAAACAGUUUCACCCCGGCUUUGUCUGACAAUCUACAAUUUGAUGAUGUUAAUUCUGUGACAAGUCAACAAUCAAAUGAUUACCGACCAACUACACCUAGAAACAGUCCGGGAUUGUCUGACAAUCUACAAUUUGAUGAUGUUAAUUCUGAUCUCCAACAACAAGAAGAAUGCGAACUGGACGACCUGUACGACUUUCGUUAUCUGAAAAGGGCCGUGGAAAUUUCGCUACGGAGGCUGGAACGUGCAGCUGCAAGCAGAUCACGGGAGGAGUUUAGGUUGGCUUUACCUUUGUUUACAGACCGUGUAAUGCUCUUGGUUAGACAUUGUAUUGAGGAUAUAGAUAAUAAUGUCACAGAAACGCCCCGGUUGUGAUUCUUUGUUAAAUAAGAAUAAAUCUAAAAAAUCCAACAACUCACCUUAUUCAAAUGAAACAAACAAUAACCCACAUUCAUUAAUCAGUGAACCAAGUACCUCAAACCUACAAACAAAUCAUGUAGAACACAACACAGCCCUGAACCCUUUUCUGUUAGAAAUGGUUAAUGAGAUUAAUGGUAGUAAUGAAAGGUUGACUUCUAAUAAUGAACACAGCUCUGAAAUUGUAUCUAAUCUAGAAAAUACAUCAGAAACACCAUA